rnacentral:rRNA from 1 species
UUCGCGGCCUAUCAGCUUGUUGGUGAGGUAACGGCUCACCAAGGCGACGACGGGUAGCCGGCCUGAGAGGGUGACCGGCCACACUGGGACUGAGACACGGCCCAGACUCCUACGGGAGGCAGCAGUGGGGAAUAUUGCACAAUGGGCGCAAGCCUGAUGCAGCAACGCCGCGUGAGGGACGACGGCCUUCGGGUUGUAAACCUCUUUUAGUAGGGAAGAAGCGAAAGUGACGGUACUUGCAGAAAAAGCGCCGGCUAACUACGUGCCAGCAGCCGCGGUAAUACGUAGGGCGCAAGCGUUAUCCGGAAUUAUUGGGCGUAAAGAGCUCGUAGGCGGUUUGUCGCGUCUGCUGUGAAAACCCGAGGCUCAACCUCGGGCCUGCAGUGGGUACGGGCAGACUAGAGUGCGGUAGGGGAGAUUGGAACUCCUGGUGUAGCGGUGGAAUGCGCAGAUAUCAGGAAGAACACCGAUGGCGAAGGCAGAUCUCUGGGCCGUAACUGACGCUGAGGAGCGAAAGGGUGGGGAGCAAACAGGCUUAGAUACCCUGGUAGUCCACCCCGUAAACGUUGGGAACUAGUUGUGGGGUCCAUUCCACGGAUUCCGUGACGCAGCUAACGCAUUAAGUUCCCC